AGCAAGGGACUAAUUGACAGGUUACCCAGCUAGGUGAGAUUGUCACCGUGCUGAGAUUGUAUUUUACAGUCUGCGCAUUGCGCGUACAAUAGUCGUGUGCACUAGCUCGCUUGUGAAGUCCAUGGAUGAUCUAAAGCAAACUAUAAUUGCAGCUAGGGAAGCCGCGCCGGACUUUGUUGCUACAGAGAGAGAAGUCAGAAUCUGGUAACUUAUCUCCUGACACAAGCCUUCCACCAGGGAUAGCAAAAAAAAGGAAUUAAUUUACGUUGGGGUUAAGAAAGACACGAGAAAGAAAGUUAUUUAUCAGCUAAAUGAAAUAACAGAAAUUCUUCAUCAAUACCACUCGAUCUAACCCCAUAGGUGGACACAGUGGAAUCAACAACACACUUGCUAAAGUCUCUAAGUUCUACACAUGGAAUGGCAUGAAGGAAGACGUCAUU